rnacentral:rRNA from 1 species
CGAACUGUGCGAACGUUAUUCGGAAUCACUGGGCUUAAAGGGUGCGUAGGCGGUUAUCUAAGUCAGGUGUGAAAUCUCUCGGCUCAACCGGGAAACUGCGCUUGAAACUGGGUGACUGGAGGGAUGCAGGGGUGUGUGGAACUUCCGGUGGAGCGGUGAAAUGUGUAGAUAUCGGAAGGAACGCCAGCAGCGAAAGCGGCACACUGGGCAUUUACUGACGCUGAGGCACGAAAGCUAGGGGAGUGAACGGGAUUAGAUACCCCGGUAAUCCUAGCCGUAAACACUGAGCACUGGAGGAGGGAGGUUUCGGCCUUCUUUCUCGUAGCGAAAGCGUUAAGUGCUCCGCCUGGGGAGUAUGGUCGCAAGGCUG